GCUUACUUCAUCCAAAAUAAUAAGAUCAGAGUUUAUGGAGUUAAGUGUUUCAAAGUUUAAUGUUUCUUGUGCUGGGGGAGUCAAAGGGGAUAAAUUCUUUUCCAGCAUAGUUGGUCCUAAUGAUAGAGAAGAGCAGUUCAUGUUUAAUGUGCUUUUAAGAGGAAGCUGUUCCAGGAAUGGAUCCAAGUUUCCAGAGUUUGAUAUAUUUUUGCUGCUGUUCGAGGAAAACUUCCUCCUCUCAUGUGAAGAGAUAAGGUUUGUUGUUGGAGUUCUCUUUGUGAACAAGGAAAUUGGACUGGCCAGGUUUGUGAAAUGUCUCUGAACGGAUAUUCCAUGGUAGCUGAGAAGGGAUUUAUUUGCAAUUAUCCGUGCUGUUGUCUCAGCCGAUUUAAAGGUGCAUGGAAUUUGGAAACCACUCAAGAGGGAAUUAGCCCUACUAUAUUGCAGACAGGAAACUCGACAAAAUUUGCAGAGGCUAGCAAAGCGCUCAGUCAGAGCCAUUGUUGCCUGAGCAGAAGUGUAUUGGACCCUGUUGUGGGAGGAGAGCAGAAUGCUGUAGCCCAGAGGAUUACUAACUGAGUGUGAGCAGCUGUCAGGGCCCUGCCUAGACCUGGAAGCUGAGGUCUCCUGAGAUAAGAAUCAAGGGAAGAAGGAACUUCCAAAAGAUCUCCACGCUGCUAAUGAUCCUGAGGAGCCAUCAGAUCAAGACAGCCCUGCCCCAGGACUGGAGGUCCCCAAACCAGCUGCCUGGAUAUCUGCUUGGCUCUCUGUGUCUCAGUGAAGUGCCUGGCUAACCGACCGUGAAGCUACUUGGA